rnacentral:rRNA from 1 species
GCCAGACUCCUACGGGAGGCAGCAGUGGGGAAUAUUGGGCAAUGGGCGAAAGCCUGACCCAGCAACGCCGCGUGAAGGAAGAAGGCUUUCGGGUUGUAAACUUCUUUUGACAGGGAAGAGCAGAAGACGGUACCUGUCGAAUAAGCCACGGCUAACUACGUGCCAGCAGCCGCGGUAAUACGUAGGUGGCAAGCGUUGUCCGGAUUUACUGGGUGUAAAGGGAGCGUAGACGGUCCUGCAAGCCAGAUGUGAAAGCCCGGGGCUCAACCCCGGGACUGCAUUUGGAACUGUAAGGCUAGAGUGUCGGAGAGGCAGGCGGAAUUCCUAGUGUAGCGGUGAAAUGCGUAGAUAUUAGGAGGAACACCAGUGGCGAAGGCGGCUUACUGGACUGUAACUGACGUUGAGGCUCGAAAGCGUGGGGAGCAAACAGGAUUAGAUACCUCGUAGC